ensembl:lncRNA
GAAAAAGCGAUCUCUUCUAAGCAUGCAUUUCUCCAUUUUACUGUGAAUAAGGGAAACGAAGAAUUGCAAGGCGAUAGAGUGAUACAGAUCUGUCCUCUUUCCCUUCCUAGAUGUCCAAACAACCAAUGUUGCUGUACAAUGAGGGCAUCUAGAGGACUUCCAGAUUCUGAAGUUUCCUGCAACUGAAGUUCUGAGCAGCUCUGUUUCUCCUCAGAAGAUCUGUCUGUGUGCAUAUGUCAGCCCAGAAAGAUUGCGGCCCCUCUGUCAGCCCAGGUGUUCUGCUUUGAAAAUAGUUGUUCACAAAAGUACAUACUGCCAGAAAGAGAUGACACAGAUAAGGUGUGAUGGUGAAGCGAGGGAUAUUUUUCUCAGUUUCAGAGCCAGAAACAGAAAUUAUACCUGCUUGAACAAAAAUGGAACCUCUGAAUGCUUUGAAUGUAACUUGCCAGCAAUACAAUAUGCUUUUGUCUCUUCUCCUAAUUCUGUGC